GCCCUCGUGGCCUAACGAAUAAGGCAUCGGUCUUCUAAACCGGGGAUUGCGGGUUCGAGUCCCGCCGAGGGUG
rnacentral:tRNA from 1 species